GAUGAACGCUAGCGGCAGGCCUAAUACAUGCAAGUCGAGGGGCGAGCGCGGUAGCAAUACUGGCGGCGACCGGCGCACGGGUGCGUAACACGUAUGCAACCUACCUUCAACUGGAGGAUAGCCCGGGGAACUCGGAUUAAUACUCCAUAACACAGGGAUCCCGCAUGGGAAUAUUGUUAAAGCUACGGCGGUUGAAGAUGGCAUGCGUUCGAUUAGCUAGUUGGUGUAGGUAACGGCUCACCAAGGCUACGAUCGAUAGGGGGUCUGAGAGGAUGAUCCCCCACACUGGUACUGAGAUACGGACCAGACUCCUACGGGAGGCAGCAGUAGGGAAUAUUGGUCAAUGGGCGCAAGCCUGAACCAGCCAUGCCGCGUGCAGGAAGAAGGCCCUCUGGGUUGUAAACUGCUUUUGUAUAGGGAACAAAUGCCACUUGCGAGUGGAGCUGAGUGUACCUACAGAAUAAG
rnacentral:rRNA from 1 species